UACAGAGGGUGCGAGCGUUGUCCGGAAUCACUGGGCGUAAAGGGCGCGUAGGCGGCUUGAUAAGCGUGCGGUGAAAGCCCGGGGCUCAACCCCGGGUCGGCCGUGCGAACUGUCGAGCUGGAGCACUGUAGAGGCAGGUGGAAUUCCGGGUGUAGCGGUGGAAUGCGUAGAGAUCCGGAAGAACACCGGUGGCGAAGGCGGCCUGCUGGGACGGUACUGACGCUGAGACGCGAAAGCGUGGGGAGCAAACAGG
rnacentral:rRNA from 1 species